GAUGAACGCUAGCGGGAGGCCUAACACAUGCAAGCCGAGCGGUAGAGUUUCUUCGGAAACUUGAGAGCGGCGCACGGGUGCGUAACACGUGUGCAACCUACCUUUAUCUGGGGGAUAGCCUUUCAAAAGGAAGAUUAAUACCCCAUAAUAUAAUGAUUGGCAUCAAUUAUUAUUGAAAACUCCGGUGGAUAGAGAUGGGCACGCGCAAGAUUAGAUAGUUGGUGAGGUAACGGCUCACCAAGUCAAUGAUCUUUAGGGGUCCUGAGAGGGAGAUCCCCCACACUGGUACUGAGACACGGACCAGACUCCUACGGGAGGCAGCAGUGAGGAAUAUUGGACAAUGGGUGAGAGCCUGAUCCAGCCAUCCCGCGUGAAGGAUGACGGUCCUAUGGAUUGUAAACUUCUUUUGUACAGGGAUAAACCUACCCUCGUGAGGGUAGCUGAAGGUACUGUACGAAUAAGCACCGGCUAACUCCGUG
rnacentral:rRNA from 1 species